rnacentral:rRNA from 1 species
AAUCUUCCACAAUGGACGAAAGCCUGAUGGAGCAACGCCGCGUGAGUGAAGAAGGUUCUCGUAUCGUAAAGCUCUGUUGUAAGGGAAGAACAAGUACAGGAGUAACUGUCUGUACCUUGACGGUACCUUACCAGAAAGCCACGGCUAACUACGUGCCAGCAGCCGCGGUAAUACAGCGGGUGCAAGCGUUAAUCGGAAUUAAUGGGCGUAAAGCGCGCGCAGGCGGUCUUUUAAAUCUGAUAGGAAAUCUUACAGCUUAACUGGAAGCCGUCAUUGGAAACUGGGAGACUUGAGUGCAGAAGAGGAGAGUGGAAUUCCAUGUGUAGCGGUGAAAUGCGUAGAGAUAUGGAGGAACGCCAGUGGCGAAGGCGACUCUCUGGUCUGUAACUGACGCUGAGGCGCGAAAGCGUAGGGAUCAAACA